AUUGAACGCUGGCGGCAGGCCUAACACAUGCAAGUCGAACGGUAGCACAGAGAGCUUGCUCUCGGGUGACGAGUGGCGGACGGGUGAGUAACGUCUGGGAAACUGCCCGAUGGAGGGGGAUAACUACUGGAAACGGUAGCUAAUACCGCAUAACGUCGCAAGACCAAAGUGGGGGACCUUCGGGCCUCACACCAUCGGAUGUGCCCAGAUGGGAUUAGCUAGUAGGUGGGGUAAUGGGUCACCUAGGCGACGAUCCCUAGCUGGUCUGAGGGGAUGCCCAGCCACAGUGGAACUGAGACACGGUCCAGACUCCUACGGGAGGCAGCAGUGGGGAAUAUUGCACAAUGGGCGCAAGCCUGAUGCAGCCAUGCCGCGUGUAUGAAGAAGGCCUUCGGGUUGUAAAGUACUUUCAGCGGGGAGGAAGGCGGUGAAGUUAAUAACUUCACCGAUUGACGUUACCCGCAGAAGAAGCACCGGCUAACACCGUGCCAGCAGCCGCCGUAA
rnacentral:rRNA from 1 species